rnacentral:misc_RNA from 1 species
UACGUAGGAUCCGAGCGUUAUCCGGAGUGACUGGGCGUAAAGAGUUGCGUAGGUGGUGUAUAAAGCGAAUGGUGAAAUCUGGCGGCUCAACCGUACAGACUAUUAUUCGAACUCAUACACUCGAGAACAGCAGAGGUAACUGGAAUUUCUGAAGUAGGGGUAAUAUCCGUAGAUAUCAGAAGGAACACCAAUGGCGUAGGCAGGUUACUGGGCUGUUUCUGACACUGAGGCACGAAAGCGUGGGGAGCGAACCGG